rnacentral:tRNA from 1 species
AUUGNUUUUACUUAGGCCUAUAANCCCAAGACUAGCAAUACGAAAACUGCCGUUGUAAUUCAACUAUAAAAACC